AGCUACUGGAAGGUGGCGGAGUUUGUCUCGUUGGUGGUGGACUUGGUCCCGGAGUUGCUGAAGCACAGGGCUCCGCUAAUCUUGGGGCUAAGAGCUCGGUACAUCCUGGAGUUAUGCCGAAGUGAGCAGCCUGUAGAACCCGAGAAGAUCCUCUCCUAUUUGGACAAGAUUCAGUCACCAAACCUCAUCCUGCUGAGAGAGUCGGAUGAGGAGGUGGUAGGGAACUUCGUUGUGUUGAUUCACGAUUUGCUCAAGGAUCCAGAAA